CCGUAGACAUAGUACUAGAGCCGAUUUACGCAAUCGAAUACCGCCGGAAGUAGAACAUAAAUGUCAACACCGGUUUCGUAUUUCACGUGAAAUCGGCCGAAAACUGAGAGGUUAUCAACAAAUUAUAAGUUUACGGGUACCAUGAGGAUUUUUCAUGCAUUUAAACGACAGAAGUACAAGCGAACAGAUGACACAUUAAAGUGGCUGCAGAAGCUUGAAAAGUUAGAUAGAGCAGGGACAGUCAAAACUGUGGGAUAAUACUUCUAUGUAAUUUCUUUUUAAAGGCAAUUUAUACAGGAUGGAAGGGGUGUCCAACAUGUCUAGUCAGGUUGACAGAAGUGAAAGAUUGUCUGAUGUUACAAUGAUGUACAAAUGAUACUCUUUAACAAGUUUAACAUGUCAAAGUGUAAAAUGUUCUGUGGAUUCAUAUGAUGAGAAUGCCAAUGUUGAUCUGUAUGACUUAAUUAAACACAGAUAUUGAUACAUUCAGAUAUAUACCUGUGAAAUCUUCAGUGUCACCGUUCAGCUAUUGUUCAAGAUCAGUGUCUGUAGCUUGCACAGUUUAGUAUAGAGGAGCCUUCUGAAUCAAUUUUGUUACAUAUUUGCUGUUAUUGUAGGACACACAUGUAGAGAGCAACAAGUCCUGUCCAACUGUGCAUGUAUAUGUGAUUCAGAAACUUUGAGAAUAUGUAAACAUUACACUGUUAUAAUUUUCAAAAUACUGUGUCUUGUAGUGUAUCAGUACUGUUUUGUCUCAGUUUAUAGCACAGUAUGUUCACAAAUCAAACUUAAGAUCAUAGUUAUCAGUAUUAUUAAAAUCAUUAAUUAUUUGUAUGGUGACAAAAUUUAAUUUCAUGCAAUACCACAGUGAAACGUUUGAUAAUUUUUUUUUUAAAGUUGUAAGUUUAAAGUUGGCAUAAUUGUUUUUCUCCUUCAUAAAUCUAAAAAGUGAUUAGUCAUUAUAUUUGCAAUAUCAUUUUAGUGUGACAAAGUUUAUAUUGAACUGAAACGCUAAUGUAAAUUUUUGAACUAUUCAAUGCAUUUUCUUAAGUCUUAAAACAUUUGUUUAUCGUACAUGUCAGGGCCAAUAACUCCUCCAUAUUACUUGUGUUUUGUCCUUUUUCGUUUCACUGAAGGAUAGGUAGAGGUAUUGCACAUCCAUUUUUUAGCAUCCUGAUUUUGUAAAGUGUUGAAUGUAAGGUUUUAUCUCGGAAUUAUGUCUCGUCUAAAGGUGGGGAGAGGUAUUGUUUAUGCCUUAUCGUCUGUCCACAUUAAGCCUGUCUGACUUUAAGAGGACAAGUUGCUGGCCAGAUUUUGAUAAAACUGAACAGGAAUGAUCAGUACCAAGCAUAGUGUUGUGCAUAUCGAUUGCAUGUUUCGUUUCGAUGCACUAAAUUGCAGCCAGAGCUAAAAGUAGAAAAAUCUUGUCAGCUUUCACAGGUCAAAACUACUUAACAGAUUUUGAUGAAACUUCACAGGAGUGAUCAGUACCAAGUAUAUUUUUGCAUAUACCGACACUUUCCAUUUUGCUAUUUUGCUGCACAAAAUAGCCGCCAUAGCACAAAGGUAUACAUAGGUGGGAGACAUGUUUUGUCAUAAAAAUACCUAAAACACCUUCCACUUUGUUAAAGAAAAUUGUAUUUAACUUCUUACAAUUGCAAACUGUAAUAAUUUGACAUUAAAUGCACUAGUUACAUAACUGCA